CCUACGGGGGGCUGCAGUAGGGAAUUUUCGGCAAUGGGGGGAACCCUGACCGAGCAACGCCGCGUGAGGGAGGAAGUAUUUCGGUAUGUAAACCUCUGUUAUAAAGGAAGUACGGUGCAUGUAGGGAAUGACAUGCAAGUGACGGUACUUUAUGAGGAAGCCACGGCUAACUACGUGCCAGCCGCCGCGGUAAUACGUAGGUGGCGUGCGUUAUCUGGAUUUAUUGGGCGAAAAGCGGGAGCAGGGGGCAGCUAAGGUUUGCGGUGAAAGCCCGAAGUUAAACUUCGGUAAGCAGUGGAAACCGAGCAGCUAGAGUGCAGUAGAGGAACGUGGAAGUCCAGGUGUAGCGGUGAAAUGCGUAGAUAUAUGGAAGAACACCAGUGGCGAAGGCGACUAUCUGGGCUGCAACUGACGCUCAGUCCCGAAAGCGUGGGGAGCAAAUAGGAUUAGAUACCCCAGUAGUC
rnacentral:rRNA from 1 species